UCACUGCAAUGAAAAAAGACAUUUAUAAAAAUUUCAGAUUUUCCAGCAGACGUGGGCUAGUGCCAAGAAAAUAAACCAUAAGUGAUGACAUCGAGCAAUGACAGAAGGAAUUUUGAAUGAAAGAUAAAAUCAUUUAAGAGGAAAGAGGAAGGAAGAAUGACAAACAGCUACUGUAACUGUACAUAUUACAGUGAAAGCAGGAUGGCUUCUAACAAGCUCAGCCACUAACAGAGGAGAGAAAAAGGAGAUGGUGAAAUUAAUCUGAGGAGCCAGCUGUCUUUGUAGCCCGUGCACUUCGCUGAUGAUGUAUUCUCCUGUCGGAAAAGAGGACGAGAUGAGCCACAUCAACCGUCAUAGGGAAAUAUCCAGGUGCUCCCAAACUGCAGCCAACCAGAGUACUGCUCAAGACGAUCUGGCAAUUUGGGCGACAUUCAAUCAACUCUCAAAACUUAUGGAUGCUUGCAUCACGGGAGUUUAUCUGGAAGUUGGGGCACGCCGUGGAGAUAUGGAAGAAACCCAGGGGGGAAAAUGGAAUUUUGCCAGGUGUGCUGUUGAGAAAAAGAUGAAAUAUUGCAAUCAUUUACCAACAACCUCACCUGGACACCCAUCUGAUCGCAGGCUGACAAGCGAGCAGGAAACAUUGUGUGUAAAAGGACUAAAGGACAGGGGGUUCACAUUUGACAUUUGUAGCAGGUUUCAGUGCAGAUAAAUACUCACAUUCCAUCAUUUGGCCCCCUCUCUCUUUCUCGGACUGUCACAUGGCUCUAUCCCCGGGGAGACAUCCACUGCCUUGAAGUCCGCUGCACCACCAAUCGCAGUCUUCCAAGGCUCAGAGAAUAGAACGACUGCACCCUGCUGUAUCUAAAUAUCACUGCCACUGCUGGAGUGUGUGUAUGUGUCUUAGUCACACAGAUCUUGCCUUAGCAUAGUGGAGCCAGCAAAUGAUUAAUUCUUUCUCCCAGAUUUUUGGCCGGUUCUCCCUAUUACCAUCACUAACGACAUCACAGAUAACGCAAACUAGCGCUUCUGCUUCGCCAGCAGCCAAGAUAUAUUUACACCAAGCUUGGUAUCGAGAUGCACGAGCACAUAUCACAUGAAGCCGCAAUAAGGCUCGCUGACAUCAUCUCCAAUGAUCGGAUCAAACCCCCAGAGAGUUGUGUUACACAGACGGAGAAGGAGUGCGAUGGAAUAAAGGGAAUCAAAAGGAGGAAGUGGAAAGGAAAGAUGCGAAGCAAAAUGAAACCGAAUGGAAAAAGCAGAGGAGGAAAGCAGAGAGUGGAACAGAGGGAGAGGCUGAGAGUGGGGGGGGGGAGAGAAGCAGUCUGACUAAGCAAGACGAGCAUGUUAUGAAACAGCAAUGGGCUGCGUAGCGACUGGCUUCUCAGAUUGAUUUAUAAAUGUGAGCUGACAGCUGAAGACAAGUGAAAACAAACUUUCUGGUUUUGCUGCCAACAGUCGUUGGAAGCUUGCAGGCAUAUUAUUCACUGUCAUGUGAUGCAACUUGUAACAGUGAUUCUGGCUCACACUCGAUUUGUCUGAAUAAAA